rnacentral:rRNA from 1 species
GAUUAACGCUGGCGGCGUGCAUAACACAUUCAAGUCGAACGGUGACGAGGGCUUCGGUCCUCUGAUCAGUGGCGGACGGGUGAGUAACGCGUGAGCAACCUGCCCUUGUGUGCGGGAUACCGUCUGGAAACGGACGUUAAUACCGCAUGACCCAAUAGUACGGCAUCGUACAGUUGGCAAAGAUUUAUUGCACAAGGAUGGGCUCGCGUCCCAUUAGAUAGUUGGUGAGGUAACGGCUCACCAAGUCGACGAUGGGUAGCCGGACUGAGAGGUUGAACGGCCACAUUGGAACUGAGAUACGGUCCAG